rnacentral:rRNA from 1 species
AUUGAACGCUGGCGGCAGGCUUAACACAUGCAAGUCGAACGAGUGGCGGACGGGUGAGUAAUGCUUGGGAAUCUAGCUUAUGGAGGGGGUUACCUACGGGAAACUGUAGCUAAUACCGCGUACCAUAGGAUGAGCACAAGUGGGAUUAGGUAGUUGGUGAGGUAAAGGCUCACCAGGCCGACGAUCGCUAGCUUGUCUGAGAGGAUGACAAGCCACACUGGUACUGUGACCCGGCCCAGACUCCGACGGGAGUCACUAGCGGGGAAUAUUGCGCAAGUGGGGCAACCUGACGCAGGCAUGCAGCGUGAAUGAAGAGGGCCUAAGGGUUGUAAAGUUCUUCCUGUAGCGCGGCGGUAACUACCGAAGAAGCAUCGGCUAACACCGUGCUAGCAGCCGCGGUAAUAC